GACGAACGCUGGCGGCGUGCUUAACACAUGCAAGUCGAGCGGAAAGGCCCUGCUUUUGUGGGGUGCUCGAGUGGCGAACGGGUGAGUAACACGUGAGUAACCUGCCCUUGACUUUGGGAUAACUUCAGGAAACUGGGGCUAAUACCGGAUAGGAGCUCCUGCUGCAUGGUGGGGGUUGGAAAGUUUCGGCGGUUGGGGAUGGACUCGCGGCUUAUCAGCUUGUUGGUGGGGUAGUGGCUUACCAAGGCUUUGACGGGUAGCCGGCCUGAGAGGGUGACCGGCCACAUUGGGACUGAGAUACGGCCCAGACUCCUACGGGAGGCAGCAGUAGGGAAUAUUGCACAAUGGGCGGAAGCCUGAUGCAGCAACGCCGCGUGCGGGAUGACGGCCUUCGGGUUGUAAACCGCUUUCGCCUGUGACGAAGCGUGAGUGACGGUAAUGGGGAAAGAAGCACCGGCGAACUACGU
rnacentral:rRNA from 1 species